CGGCUGUUUAUUUCACCUGGGUGCAGGCGGGCUGAGUCUGAAUAGAGAGUCAGCGAAGGGAGAUAAAGGUGGGGGAUUUGGGUUUUAUAGGAUUUGGGUAGCCUCCGUAUUGAUUAAGAAGGGUACGGUCUUACCUACCACUGUGAGAGUUACCUGAAGAUCAGCAUCUGUGGUCGUCUAGGGGGCUUCUGAGGCAAUCAGGCAGCGUCAGUCUUCAGCUGCUAAGCCGAGAAGAUCUGGGAAGGAGUCAGUCAGAGAGCAUUGGGCCAGCGUUCCAGGGGCUCUGGGAGUGGCUGCCAGGUGAGUUGAACAGUCCGAUUUUCAGUGUGGUCCCGCACAGAUGGGACAUGGCUUAGGAGGAAUCCCAGGCUGCGGGCAUUCCCUGGCCCAGUGGCCAGAUUUUUGGCACUUGUAACAAGCUCCUGGGGGAGGUGGGCCUGGAGGAAUGCCUGGCAGCUGCGGUUCAGGCGUUUGGAAGUUCUUGUGUGUUGGAGAUAUGGCUGUUUAGGGAUAGUGAGGGAAGUUGGAGAAGAGAGAAAAACAGGCCACUUACCAGAUUUGAAAUUGGUGAGAUGUUCCUUGGGCUGGUCAGUCUGAGGACCUGAGGUCGUAGGUGGAUCUUUCUCACGGAGCAAAGAGCAGGAGGACAGGGUAUUGAUUUCCCAAGGGAGGUCCCCCAAUCCGAGUCAUGGCAUCAAAUUUUACGUGCGUCUGUGUGAAGAGACCACCAAACAGGCUUUGUGUGAGCAACAAGGC
rnacentral:lncRNA from 10 species